UUUUCAGAGAGAGGGAAAAGCAAAAAAAAGAGGACACUCAGCUCAGCUGUGGAGGAGGUUGAAGAAGGAACAAGGGUUUAAGCACACUUUCUCCUAUUCUAUCAAUGGUACGUGAUUUUUGAGCCCGGUUCUAAGCUCUUUUUUAUAUUUCUGGGGUUCGAUUUCCUUUCUCCAAUCUGUUAAACCACUUGCCGCUUUGUGAAACCCAUCAAAAACCCUGUUUUUUUUUUUUCCUUCUAUCAAUUUUGGUUUUUGUUUAAGGGUUUAGACUGCGGGCGACGUUUCUUGGUGACUCAAGACUGGAGUAGCUUAAGGUUGAGUUUUACGGUUAAAUUGAAUUGUAAUAAAUGACUUCUCCACCAUCGAAAAACAUAUGGAUUCGGCGGCAACAAUGCCCAUGUGGGGAUUGGAAAUGUUAUGUGACAUAUGAGGGAGACUCUGAAGAGACAUCAUCCAUAACAUCCCAAUUGGUAAAGAAUGAUAGUGCAGGCUCAGAAGCUAUGGUUUCCCCUUAUGUUGGAAUGGUAUUUAAGAGUGACGAUGAUGCAUUUGAGUAUUAUGGCAACUUUGCUAGAAAAAAUGGCUUCUCAAUUCGGAAAGAGCGGUCCCGACUUAGUCCUCAAUUGGGUAUUUAUAAGCGUGACUUUGUUUGUUAUCGUUCUGGCUUUGCACCAGUGAAGAAGAAGCCGACAGGAGAACACCACAGGGAUAGGAAGUCAGUUCGGUGUGGAUGUGAUGCAAAAAUGUAUUUGUCCAAGGAGGUAGUUGAUGGGGUUUCUCAAUGGUUUGUUGUGCAAUUCAGUAAUGUCCAUAACCAUGAGCUUUUGGAAGAUGACCAAGUACGCCUUCUUCCUGCAUAUCGUAAAAUUCAUGAGGCGGAUCAAGAGCGGAUACUAUUACUUUCUAAAGCUGGAUUUCCUAUACAUCGCAUAGUGAAGGUGUUGGAGUUGGAAAAGGGGAUUCAAGGUGGACAAUUACCCUUUUUAGAGAGGGACGUUAGAAAUUUUGUCCAAAAUCGUAAGAAGGUUGUUCAAGAAAAUGAUGCUUUGCUCACUGAAAAACGGGAAAACGAUACAUUGGAACUUCUUGAGGCAUGCAAGGGAACAAAAGAAGCAGAUGAAGACUUCGUUUAUGAUUUUACAGUUGAUGAGAAUGAUAAAGUUGAACACAUUGCAUGGUCAUAUGGUGAUUCAGUCCAUGCAUACACUAUGUUUGGUGAUGCAGUUUAUUUUGACACUUCGUAUCAAUCAAUCACAUACGGCGUGCUUUUUGGAGCAUGGCUUGGCAUUGACAACCAUGGAAGGACCAUUUUCUUUGGUUGUGUUCUUUUGCAAGAUGAAACCCCUCGUUCCUUCUCGUGGGCUUUACAGACUUUUGUUCGUUUCAUGAGAGGGAGAUGCCCGCAAACAAUUCUAACUGAUCUUGAUCCUGGGCUGAGAGAUGCAAUAAGAAGUGAAUUACCAGGCACUAAACAUGUCAUUUCUAUAUGGAAUAUUCUUCCCAAGGUAUCCAGCUGGUUCUCUGUUUCACUUGGAUCUCGCUGUGCAGAAUUUAAAUCUGAGUUUGAUGUGUUGUAUCGGGUGGAGAGUACAGAGGAUUUCGAGCUUCAAUGGAAUCAAAUGAUUUCAAUGUUUGGGCUUACUACAGAUAAACAUAUUGCUUUACUUUAUUCAUUCCGGGCAUCCUGGGCUCUGUCAUAUAUGAAGGGUUACUUUCUUGCUUGUAUGGCAACGACUACAUAUUCAAAGUCUGUAGAUGCAUUUUUGAAAGGAGUUUUCAGUGCACAAACAUGUUUGCGUAGCUUUUUUGAGCAGGUUGGUAUUUCUGCCAAUUUUCAAAAUCAGGCACGUCAAGAGAUGCAGUAUAUGCAUAUUAAAACAUGCAUUCCCAUUGAAGAGCAUGUGAGGAGUAUUCUGACGCCUUUUGCCUUCAAUGCUUUGCAGCAUGAACUUGUGCUCGCCAUGCAAUAUGCAGUAUCUGAAAUGUCCAACGGGUCAUAUCUUGUGCGCCACUUUAAGGAGAUUGAUGGGGAGCGUCUUGUGAUAUGGAUACCAGAAGAGGAACAUAUUCAUUGUUCCUGUAAAGAGUUUGAAUCUUCUGGAUUGUUAUGCAGACAUUCUCUGCGUGUAUUUGUAGCAAAGAACUACUUUCAGCUUCCUGACAAGUACUAUUUAAAUAGAUGGCGGAAAGAAAGCUCUCUUGAUUUUUAUGAUGACCACAUUGCUCGAACUAGUGAUGAUGAAUGGUUUCAAGAUUAUCACUGCCUUACUGAAACCCUGUUUACAGAAUCAUCAAUUACAAAGGAGCGUGCUGAUUAUGUUCGCCGGGAAUUGACAACACAACUCACAAGGAUUCUUAAUGAGGUUAGAAAUAUGCCAGAAUGUGAAGGAGUUGCUAUGGAUCUGACAUUUUCCCCUACGGGCUAAUUUGAAGCAGUUGUUCAUGUGUACUGUAUUGGUAUCAAAUGCAACUGCAACAUGCUUUCUGGAAUUUAGAGAAUAGACAGAGUUAAAGAAAAUAUGAUUGGAAGGUUUAGGCAAUGGAAGGACAAUAUGGCUUUGCAUUAUUUCUCUUAUAUUAAGCAGAAAAGUGUAAUGUUUGGAAGAUCCAUCGCUGUUCAGCCAAAUUGCUGUUUAAACUUCCUGAUGUAUAACAUCACAACACUCAAAAAGGAAGUGGAGAAAGGAACUUACCUAAGACAGAGACAGGAACUGGAAUGCUUCUAGUUCUAGUUCUAGAUCUCUCCUUUCAUAAUUCCGGAAAGGGAAGGGGCCUCUAUUCGCAAGAGAUUUAGAGACCCCGUUCGAGGUGUCGGUGAUGUUCCUGAUUAUUGUAAAUCUAAAAAA